GUGGUAAUGCCGGAUGUUCCACAUGAUCGCAUGUGAUUGUGGGAAAGAUUCUAUCGGCGUGGGAUGGGGUCGCGUCCUAUCAGCUUGUUGGUGAGGUAACGGCUCACCAAGGCUUCGACGGGUAGCCGGCCUGAGAGGGCGACCGGCCACAUUGGGACUGAGAUACGGCCCAGACUCCUACGGGAGGCAGCAGUGGGGAAUAUUGCACAAUGGGCGCAAGCCUGAUGCAGCGACGCCGCGUGAGGGAUGGAGGCCUUCGGGUUGUAAACCUCUUUUGUUUGGGAGCAAGCCUUCGGGUGAGUGUACCUUUCGAAUAAGCGCCGGCUAACUACGUGCCAGCAGCCGCGGUAAUACGUAGGGCGCAAGCGUUAUCCGGAUUUAUUGGGCGUAAAGGGCUCGUAGGCGGCUCGUCGCGUCCGGUGUGAAAGUCCAUCGCUUAACGGUGGAUCUGCGCCGGGUACGGGCGGGCUGGAGUGCGGUAGGGGAGACUGGAAUUCCCGGUGUAACGGUGGAAUGUGUAGAUAUCGGAAAGAAC
rnacentral:rRNA from 1 species